rnacentral:lncRNA from 1 species
GAACAAUCUAUCCUCGUUGACUUCGUACGUUUCCCCCAAAAAUUCAUCGAGUUGCUCGAAGCAUGUAUGCAACGUCGCGAUGAUGUCCGUCCAAAAUUUCUUGCCAUCAUGCGAGUGGGCGAAUCUUUUGCGCCUGAUUUUUCAAACCUUGGAAUAGUAGAGACCAACGACUUCAAACAUUUGUCUCACAUCUCGUUGAGACUUAAACAGGGCAGUGACGCAGCAAUAAAACACUACCUUGCCGCGCGUGUAAUGGAAUUACGAUGCGAUCGCGGAAAAAUGAUUCAACGUAAUGAGAACAACGCUGCGCAACUAAAAUAUUUAAGCCGCAAACUGGAAGACAGCGCGGCGGAGGUAUCCCUGCAGAGGCAGAUGUUUCAAAAAUCUGAAGAAGCCAUGCAGUCACGGCUUGACGAACUCUCGGUCAAUCUGAAGACAGCGGCCAUGAAAGAGUUAGAGAACACAAGAAAGAAAUUAGAGAGCGAGCGGAAAACCUCAGAAGCAGCUAUGCGUUCGGCCAUUGAAUCACUCACCAGCCGCAACUGCGAGCUAGAUAAUCAGGUUCGAGAUUUGAUGGAAACAAAGUUUAAAUUGGAUAGUAGGCUAUCAGAUGUCGUUUCUCGCCUACAUAUGGCAGAAAACGAGUUGAAGACCAGCAGUGGUGAAGUAGCGCGCCUCAGGAAGCUUCAGACUGAUCUUGACGAGGUAAGGCUUCACCUACAACAUAUUUUGCAUUUUUCGGGCCCGGUUCACAGGCAUGUCACCUGAAAUGAAAAUCAAUAUUGUUCUUUACAAAACGGAUCGACAUGAGCGAGCCAAGAACACUGCGCAGCAUGAUUUACGCGUAGAGUGGCUUGAGCAGCAAAUCAAGGACAAGGAAGAUCUCAUCGCCUCGAUGAAUGGAAGACUGCGCAG